rnacentral:rRNA from 1 species
UUGAACGCUGGCGGCAUGCUUUACACAUGCAAGUCGAACGGCAGCGGGGGCUUCGGCCUGCCGGCGAGUGGCGAACGGGUGAGUAAUGCAUCGGAACGUACCCCGUCGUGGGGGAUAACACAGCGAAAGUUGUGCUAAUACCGCAUACGACCUGAGGGUGAAAGCGGGGGACCGUAAGGCCUCGCGCGAUGGGAGCGGCCGAUAUCGGAUUAGCUAGUUGGUGAGGUAAAGGCUCACCAAGGCGACGAUCCGUAGCUGGUCUGAGAGGACGACCAGCCACACUGGAACUGAGACACGGUCCAGACUCCUACGGGAGGCAGCAGUGGGGAAUUUUGGACAAUGGGGGCAACCCUGAUCCAGCCAUUCCGCGUGAGUGAAGAAGGCCUUCGGGUUGUAAAGCUCUUUCGGCAGGAACGAAACGGUGGUCCUUAAUACGGGCUACUAAUGACGGUACCUGAAGAAGAAGCACCGGCUAACUACGU